rnacentral:rRNA from 1 species
ACUCCUACGGGAGGCAGCAGUGGGGAAUAUUGCACAAUGGGGGAAACCCUGAUGCAGCCAUGCCGCGUGUGUGAAGAAGGCCUUCGGUUGUAAAGCACUUUCAGUAGGGAGGAAGGUAGUGUAGUUAACACCUGCAUUAUUUGACGUUACCUACAGAAGAAGCACCGGCUAACUCCGUGCCAGCAGCCGCGGUAAUACGGAGGUGCGAGCGUUAAUCGGAAUUACUGGGCGUAAAGCGCAUGCAGGCGGCCUGUUAAGUCAGAUGUGAAAGCCCGGGGCUUAACCUCGGAAUUGCAUUUGAAACUGGCAGGCUAGAGUCUUGUAGAGGGGUUAGAAUUUCAGGUGUAGCGUGAAAUGCGUAGAGAUCUGAAGGAAUACCGAGUGGCGAAGGCGGCCCCUGGACAAAGACUGACGCUCAGAUGCGAAAGCGUGGGAGCAAACAGGAUU